CAGCAGCCGCGGGAAAACGAGGGGUGCAAGCGUUAAUCGGAAUUACUGGGCGUAAAGCGUGCGUAGGCGGUUUGUUAAGUCUGUUGUGAAAUCCCCGGGCUCAACCUGGGAAUGGCAAUGGAUACUGGCAAGCUAGAGUGUGUCAGAGGAUGGUGGAAUUCCCGGUGUAGCGGUGAAAUGCGUAGAGAUCGGGAGGAACAUCAGUAGCGAAGGCGGCCAUCUGGGACAACACUGACGCUGAGGCACGAAAGCGUGGGGAGCAAACAGGAUUAGAUACCCCCGUAGUCCCUGUCUCUUAUAC
rnacentral:rRNA from 1 species